GACCAUGUGGCCUAAUGGAUAAGGCGUCUGACGAAUCAGAAGAAUCAGAAGAUUCAGGGUUCCGAGUCCCUUCAUGGUUA